rnacentral:rRNA from 1 species
AACUUAACUUGGGAGUCCGAACUCUCACUUUCUAACCCUGUGCACUUGUUUGGGAUAGUAACUCUCGCAAGAGAGCGAACUCCUAUUCACUUAUAAACACAAAGUCUAUGAAUGUAUUAAAUUUUAUAACAAAAUAAAACUUUCAACAACGGAUCUCUUGGCUCUCGCAUCGAUGAAGAACGCAGCGAAAUGCGAUAAGUAAUGUGAAUUGCAGAAUUCAGUGAAUCAUCGAAUCUUUGAACGCACCUUGCGCUCCAUGGUAUUCCGUGGAGCAUGCCUGUUUGAGUGUCAUGAAUACUUCAACCCUCCUCUUUCUUAAUGAUUGAAGAGGUGUUUGGUUUCUGAGCGCUGUUGGCCUUUACGGUCUAGCUCGUUCGUAAUGCAUUAGCAUCCGCAAUCGAACUUCGGAUUGACUUGGCGUAAUAGACUAUUCGCUGAGGAAUUCUAGUCUUCGGAUUAGAGCCGGGUUGGGUUAAAGGAAGCUUCUAAUCAGAAUGUCUACAUUUUAAGAUUAGAUCUCAAAUCAGGUAGGACUACCCGCUGAACUUAAGCAUAUCAAUAAGCGGAGGAAAAGAAACUAACAAGGAUUCCCCUAGUAGCGGCGAGCGAAGCGGGAAGAGCUCAAAUUUAUAAUCUGGCACCUUCGGUGUCCGAGUUGUAAUCUCUAGAAAUGUUUUCCGCGUUGGACCGCACACAAGUCUGUUGGAAUACAGCGGCAUAGUGGUGAGACCCCCGUAUAUGGUGCGGACGCCCAGCGCUUUGUGAUACAUUUUCGAAGAGUCGAGUUGUUUGGGAAUGCAGCUCAAAUUGGGUGGUAAAUUCCAUCUAAAGCUAAAUAUUGGCGAGAGACCGAUAGCGAACAAGUACCGUGAGGGAAAGAUGAAAAGCACUUUGGAAAGAGAGUUAACAGUACGUGAAAUUGUUGGAAGGGAAACGCUUGAAGUCAGACUUGCUUGCCGAGCAAUCGGUUUGCAGGCCAGCAUCAGUUUUCCGGGAUGGAUAAUGGUAGAGAGAAGGUAGCAGUUUCGGCUGUGUUAUAGCUCUCUGCUGGAUACAUCUUGGGGGACUGAGGAACGCAGUGUGCCUUUGGCGGGGGUUUCGACCUCUUCACACUUAGG